GCAUCGGUAGUUUAGUGGUAGAAUGCUCGUUUCCCAAGUGAGUGGCCCGGGUUCGAUUCCCGGUCGAUGCA
rnacentral:tRNA from 1 species